GAUGAACGCUGGCGGCGUGCCUAAUACAUGCAAGUCGAGCGAACAGACGCGGAGCUUGCUCCUCUGACGUUAGCGGCGGACGGGUGAGUAACACGUGGAUAACCUACCUAUAAGACUGGGAUAACUUCGGGAAACCGGAGCUAAUACCGGAUAAUAUAUUGAACCGCAUGGUUCAAUAGUGAAAGACGGUUUUGCUGUCACUUAUAGAUGGAUCCGCGCCGCAUUAGCUAGUUGGUAAGGUAACGGCUUACCAAGGCAACGAUGCGUAGCCGACCUGAGAGGGGGAGCGGCCACACUGGAACUGAGACACGGUCCAGACUCCUACAGGAGGCAGCAGUGGGGAAUCUUCCGCAAUGGGCGAAAGCCUGACGGAGCAACGCCGCGUGAGUGAUGAAGGUCUUCGGAGCGUAAAACUCUGUUAUGAGGGAAGAACAAAUGUGUAAGUAAUUAGGCACGUUUGGACGGUACCUAAUCAGAAAGCCACGGCUAACUACGU
rnacentral:rRNA from 1 species